UACAGAGGGGGCAAGCGUUGUUCGGAAUUACUGGGCGUAAAGGGCGCGUAGGCGGCCGCCUAAGUCAGACGUGAAAUCCCUCGGCUCAACCGGGGAACUGCGUCUGAUACUGGGUGGCUUGAAUCCGGGAGAGGGAUGCGGAAUUCCAGGUGUAGCGGUGAAAUGCGUAGAUAUCUGGAGGAACACCGGUGGCGAAGGCGGCAUCCUGGACCGGCAUUGACGCUGAGGCACGAAAGCGUGGGGAGCAAACGGG
rnacentral:rRNA from 1 species